GUGCCGGCGUACUUGCGACUGCCGGUCUCUUGUUGGAUGAUUCCGCCCGCCGUUUCAUAAGCGAAGGAAUAAUGUCCGCGGGAAUCGCCCAGAUCGCGUGCGUAGCUGACGAGCCUCUCUGGUUCCGGAGAGAAUUGACCGUGAACCAAUCCAAGCAGGGCUAUUAACAGCUAAAAAUGUAAAGGAGGAUGUUUAAUGACGUCGAUGCGGACCGAAGUGGAGAACUAUCUAUACACACACUACGCGCUUUGUAAUCCGCGUCAUGUCCAUCUUAUAAAGAGACGCUGGAGAUACCUUUCCCCGCAAAAGGUCAGCAUAAAAUGAAUGCGUUGAUACACAUAAAGCUCGUAAAGUUACAAGAGUACAGUGGCACAUCAUACUUUAUCUGCGCUACGCGUAAAAGCUUCUUCCACAAAAGCAGUCUGCCUCGUAAAAUUACAACUUAUGUUUAUACAUAUAUAUAACAUGAAAGUUAUCUUUAUAAGUAU